UACGUAGGGCGCAAGCGUUGUCCGGAAUUAUUGGGCGUAAAGAGCUCGUAGGCGGUUUGUCGCGUCGGAUGUGAAACCCCGGGGCUUAACCCCGGGCCUGCAUUCGAUACGGGCUGACUAGAGUUCGGCAGGGGAGAGCGGAACUCCUGGUGUAGCGGUGGAAUGCGCAGAUAUCAGGAAGAACACCGGUGGCGAAGGCGGCUCUCUGGGCCUUACCUGACGCUGAGGAGCGAAAGCGUGGGUAGCGAACAGG
rnacentral:rRNA from 1 species